AUCCAGCUGAUGAUGAGUCCCAAAUAGGAUGAAAUGCGCAUCCUGGAU
rnacentral:hammerhead_ribozyme from 1 species